rnacentral:rRNA from 1 species
GACGAACGCUGGCGGCGUGCUUAACACAUGCAAGUCGAACAGAGGCGAACGGGUGAGUAACACGUGCGUAACCUGCCCUCCACUCUGGGAUAACUCCGAGAAAUCGGGGCUAAUACUUGAUAGCGGGGGAUGGGCUGGCGGCCUCUCAGUUUGUUGGUGAGGUAGUGGUCACCACGGCGCGACGGGUAGCCGGCCUGCGAGGGGGAACGGCCACAUUGGGACUGAGACACGGCCCAGACUCCUACGGGGGGCAGCAGUGGGGAAUAUUGCACAAUGGGCGAAAGCCUGAUGCAGCGACGCCGCGUGGGGGAUGACGGCCUUCGGGUUGUAAACCUCUUUCAGCAAGGAAGCGGUACUUGCAGAAGAAGCGCCGGCUAACUACGUGCCAGCCGCCGCGGUAAUUC